CUUUCAGUCAUGCCGCCUCUUUUCUCCUCUCAGUGUCUGAUUGAGUCCAUUGAGCAUCCGCCUCUGCAGGCGUAGAGAAAAGCCGGCCCGUCCCUUCCACAAGAGACAGGAGGACAACGAGUCCACGCUUUGGCUGUCGGUCCUCGAGCUUUGACUUUUGGGUUUUCGUCGCUUGAUUGUGGGAUUCAUGAGAUCAAACGUGGACAGUUGAGGCUUUCCAAACUGUGAGACACAACAAAAGCAUGUCCUGCAUGUCACAGAGAAAAUAAAGACUUAGGAGUGAAAAUGCAAUCAGCAAGCCAGCAUAUUCCCAAAGAAAGUGCACUGAAUGGAAUGGUUUAACUAUGAAAUGGUGUCAUUUUAAGUCCAUUCAAAGUCCCACUCCGACAAUCCUUAGAUCUAGUUCACUAAAGUUCAUAGUGUCUGCAUUUUCUGAGGCGGAGUCACCCAGAGUCACAUCAUGGACUGGGAAAAGGCCUAAGUCCUCCGCACUGAGGACAACAGACACCACAGAUGGAUCAUGGAGGCGGUGGAAAUUCGAACCCACUCUUCCAUGAAUCAGGAUGAGGGGGCCUUCAUGCUCUCUCACACCUGGAGCAACAUCCUCCAGCAGAAAACGGACAUCCAGCUGGACAGGCGACUCCGUCACAGUCAUCUGUUUUUAUAUACGUCACAUCACUACCAUCUGAUGACACGCAAGACAGCCGUCCAAACAUGUCAGCUGCUGGGAGACCUGUCACCGAUGGAGGGGAGUUUGCUGUAAUGGAUGACUCAUUUCCACUCCUCGGUCAGCUGGAGUAGGUGUGAAGUUUAGAGGAGCAAAGCGAGACAAAUCGUGGCUGAUGAAAGCUCGGCUGAGUUUUGAUCCUUUCGCUCCAAAAGGGGAGUCCAGUUAAGAAUCUGUCUAUUUUUAAUAGAAUCCAGACAAACCAUGUUUGCACUGAGUCAAAGGAAGUGAUUAAAAUUGCUUUUCCCCAAACUCCAGCUGAGCAACCAAUUUAGAGGAGGAGACCAGAAAGUUAGUGACAUACCGUUUGAAAUAUUAUCCAGGUCUAGUUUGUUUUGGAUCAAUU
rnacentral:lncRNA from 1 species